AGUGAACGCUGGCGGUAGGCCUAACACAUGCAAGUCGAACGGCAGCACAGUAAGAGCUUGCUCUUACGGGUGGCGAGUGGCGGACGGGUGAGGAAUACAUCGGAAUCUACUUUUUCGUGGGGGAUAACGUAGGGAAACUUACGCUAAUACCGCAUACGACCUACGGGUGAAAGCAGGGGAUCUUCGGACCUUGCGCGAUUGAAUGAGCCGAUGUCGGAUUAGCUAGUUGGCGGGGUAAAGGCCCACCAAGGCGACGAUCCGUAGCUGGUCUGAGAGGAUGAUCAGCCACACUGGAACUGAGACACGGUCCAGACUCCUACGGGAUGCAGCAGUGGGGAAUAUUGGACAAUGGGCGCAAGCCUGAUCCAGCCAUACCGCGUGGGUGAAGAAGGCCUUCGGGUUGUAAAGCCCUUUUGUUGGGAAAGAAAAGCAGCAGGUUAAUACCCCGCUGUUCUGACGGUACCCAAAGAAUAAGCACCGGCUAACUUCG
rnacentral:rRNA from 1 species